AAAGGUCCCAGAGUUCCCACCGCAUGUCAGGACAAAAACCAGGCCAUGAAGUCCAAGGAACUCUCUGCGGACCCCUGCAAUAAAACUGUGGCAAGACAUAGAUCGGGGGAAUGUUAUAAAACCCUUUAUAAAGCCUUGAGUGUUCCCAGGAGCACAGUGACCUCAGUAAUUAUGAAAUGAAAGAUGUUUGGAACCACCAGGACUCUUCUUAGAGGUGGCAGAGAUGGGAAAACCAUCUCAGCAGCACUCCAUCAAUCAGGCCUUCAUUGCGGACUGGCUCUCAGGAAGCCACUUUGAGUUAAGGACAUAUGACAGCCUGCGUGGAGUUUGUCAAACUGCAUUUAAAGGACUCAGAGCAUGAGGAAGAAGACUCUGGUUUGAUGAGACAAAAACUGAACCCUGUGGGCAGAGCUCCAAACACUACGUCUCUCCAAACACAUGGAACUGCACAUCACCUGGCUAAUACCAUCCCCACAGUAAAGCGUGGUGGUCGCCAGCAUCGUGCUAUGGGGGUCGGGGGCUCCUCGGGGGCAAAGACAGGGAGACUGCGCAGAACCGAGGGUUGGAUGAGUGCAGCAGAGUCCUUGAAGAAAACCUGCUCCAGAGUGCGUGAAACCUGAGACUGGGGAUCUGAAGAUGGCGGUUUAGAUGCUCCACGGGACGCAUGGGAUAAACUGCCCAAAUCCAGAGUUCCUUGGACUUCAUGGCCUGGUAUUUGUCCUGACAUGCGCUGGGAACUCUGGGACCUUUUUAUAUACACAGAGUUGACCGGCACUGAGUCAUCACGGACGCACUGAGCCUGAAGAAAAGCCUCCUUUGACUCCACAACACAGAUAAAAAACCCCAACUAAUGUCGUCUUCCCAUGCCAUUUUCAUUGACCUCCAAAACAGUCCUGAGAUAUCCCAGUAAGAGGGGUCCCAGGUCAGCGUGACCACAGCCCGAUCGGCUCUGUGGCAAGCAAAAAGCCUCCCCAGGUCAGGGCCGUUCCCAAAUGUCGGCUCAGCUGAACAGACAGCAGAGGGCAGCACCCGCCUCUGUCUCAGGGAUGACACCAGGCUGAGCCCGGACGGCAGCGAGAGAAACUUGGAAUAAGGGGAAAGACGGAUAUAAGGGAAUUCAGUAGCACUAGAUAAUAAACUGACACAUCAUGCAGAAAUA